UUCAGGUCCUACAUGAUAUGUCGAGUUUAAAAAGGAACAAACUUACACCAGAAUAUAGGAUAUUUAUAGGAUAUUUAUAGGAUUUAUAGGAUUUCCAGAAUUCUUGUAAUAUCCAAGAAUAUGAGAAGGAGCUGGAAAAACAAGUAGCAGAAGGAGAAUUAUUUUAUUAAAGUACACAUUUCAAACAAUUUUUCAAACUUUAAUUAAGGACUGGGAAUAGAAAGUACAAUUUCAUUAGAAGAAAAUAUAAGGAAAAAAAUAUUUAAAUUUUGAGAGAAAACAAAAGAUUUAUUUUGGAGGGUAUAAAAACUAAGGAAAACAUAUCAAUAAGUAACUACAAACCAUUGUACUCAUAACCAUAAAAUACUAAUAAAUAACUACAAACCAUUGUACUCAUAACCAUAAAAUACUACAUGUACUCUCAAAAGAGAUGACAAGAGGAUUUAUUUAUUUAUUAUCUCAUCACACCAUUUAAUCUCUGAAAUCAAAGAGUUGUAUAUUGAAAAAUAGAAUGUAAAUGGGCAAAUAAAAUAGUUAUAAUAAUUAAAAUAUUAAUUUUGAAACAUGCAUCCAUAAAAAGUUGAAAUGAUCCCAAUAGAAAAGCACCUCAAUCUCCUCUGCAAUUUGUCACCUGCUCAAAAGAUGAAUCUCAACAUUCCCUACCUAGGUGAACCAAAAGAAUUCUGAAGGAGAGCCAUCAACACAGUGUACCUCUGCUCUCACAUCUUUGAUUUCAGGUCCCAGGGCCCCUCGGCUUUGCUGACACAUGAGUCUCCUUUAUGUCUUUGCCUCCUUAGCCAAUAUGGAUCCUUCUAUUGGUUCUGGUACUAAUAUCUCUGCCUAGAAGUCUGGGACUGAGUCUCCUUUCAAUUGUGUCACUGGGCUCAAUAUGACAGUUUUAUUAGCCAGGAACUACAAGAAUCUCAGGAGUGCAAGCCAGACCUUUGCUUUGCAAGUUAACAGCUUCCCAUCCCUCAGGUUUGAUAAUAUAUGCUGGCUUUCUGAGGAAUAAGAAUGGAUUAUCAGUACCUGUUGUUUCUAUCUCCAUUUGAAAUUUGGUUCUAAAGGCCAACUGGUGUCUUAUACAAGCUUUAUGUGUAAUUAGUACUCAGCAAAUAC